CUCUACAACUUUUUUCCCUUACAGCAGGAACAGGUCAAAUCUGGAGGCACUGGGCUGCUCAUGGGACAAGAAGAUGGCAAAUCAAUACCAGAAGCUGCACUUGAGGAGCUGCCUCACCUCCUGCCAGCCACUGCAUCUAUUUCACGUAUUUUUUCCAUCUCCUUGUCUGUAAAAUGUGCAAAGUGUUGCUAACUGCACUUCAAGAAUCUUGUGAGUUCCUUAGCUGUGGAUAACUAAAUAUUAUGACAUAUAAAAGCACAGGGUAUAGAUAUAUCGUAGACUUCACACUUGUAUUUCACACUCUCUAUUAAUGUGGCACUCCACAGUGACAUGAUAUUUACCAAAAACUUCCUGGAA